GACGCGAUGGCCUAUUGGUAAGGCACCAGACGCCAAUGUAGGGCGAAAUACAUAGGUGUUGUCUGGGGAAGUAGGUUCGAGUCCUACUCGUGUCG